UCAGGGAGAAAGUCUCUUCGGGGAUGAUUAAACCGGCGCACGGGUGAGUAACACGUGAGUGACCUGCCUUUUAGACUGGAACAACUUACCGAAAGGUGAGCUAAUGCCGGAUGAGUUAUAUAAGUGCAUGUUUAUAUAGGAAAAGUUGGGGAGACCUGACGCUGAAAGAUGGACUCGCGUCCCAUUAGCUAGUUGGUAGGGUAAUGGCCUACCAAGGCGACGAUGGGUAGCCGGCCUGAGAGGGUGGCCGGCCACACUGGGACUGAGACACGGCCCAGACUCCUACGGGAGGCAGCAGUGGGGAAUUUUGCGCAAUGCUCGUAAGAGUGACGCAGCGACGCCGCGUGAAUGACGAAGGCCUUCGGGUCGUAAAGUUCUUUCGACAGGGAAGAAAAUGCCUAUAAGUAACUGUGUAUGUAUUGACGGUACCUGUAUAAGCAGCCCCGGCUAACUCCGUGCCAGCAGCCGCGGUAAUACGGAGGGGGCGAGCGUUGUUCGGAGUGACUGGGCGUAAAGAGCACGUAGGCGGUGUUGUAAGUCAUUAGUCAAAGACUAGAGCUCAACUUUAGUAAGGCUAGUGAUACUAUAAUACUAGAGUAUCAGAGAGGAUUGCAGAAUUCCUGGUGUAGCGGUGAAAUGCGUAGAUAUCAGGAGGAAUACCGUUAGCGAAGGCGGCAAUCUGGCUGGAAACUGACGCUGAGGUGCGAAAGCGUGGGUAGCAAACAGGAUUAGAUACCCUGGUAGUCCACGCUGUAAACGAUGGAUGCUAGGUGUUGGGCUUUUAAGUUCAGUGCCGCAGCAAACGCGAU
rnacentral:rRNA from 1 species